AAUCAUUAGUUUUUUAAUUGAAAGCUUGUAUGAAAGGUUGGACGAAGUAAAUUCUGUCUCUAUUUAAUUUAAUUUAGAAAUUAAUUUUUAAGUUAAAAAGCUUAAAUAUUUUUAAAAGACGAGAAGACCCUAUAGAUUUUUAUAUUAAAUUUAAUAAAUUUAAUAUAGAUUUAUUAAUUUUUUAUUAAAUUUUUUAUUUUAUUGGGGUAAUAGAGAGAUUAAUUGAAUUCUUUUUAAAAUUUUUCAUUAAUUUAUGUUUAAGUGAUCCAAUUUUAUUGAUUAUAAGAUUAAAUUACCUUAGGGAUAACAGCGUAAUUUUUUUAGAGAGUUCAUAUCGAUAAAAAAGUUUGCGACCUCGAUGUUGGAUUAAAAAUUAUCUUAGGUGCAGAAUUUUAAGAUUUGGGUCUGUUCGACCAUUAAAUUUUU
rnacentral:rRNA from 1 species